rnacentral:rRNA from 1 species
CAGCAGUCGCCGCGGUAAUACAGAGGGUGCGAGCGUUAAUCGGAUUUACUGGGCGUAAAGCGUGCGUAGGCGGCUUCUUAAGUCGGAUGUGAAAUCCCUGAGCUUAACUUAGGAAUUGCAUUCGAUACUGGGAAGCUAGAGUAUGGGAGAGGAUGGUAGAAUUCCAGGUGUAGCGGUGAAAUGCGUAGAGAUCUGGAGGAAUACCGAUGGCGAAGGCAGCCAUCUGGCCUAAUACUGACGCUGAGGUACGAAAGCAUGGGGAGCAAACAGGAUUAGAUACCCGUGUAGUCCCUGUCUCUUAUAC